rnacentral:rRNA from 1 species
UAGGGAAUAUUGGACAAUGGGGGCAACCCUGAUCCAGCAAUGCCGCGUGAGUGAUGAAGGCCUUAGGGUUGUAAAGCUCUUUUACCCGGGAUGAUAAUGACAGUACCGGGAGAAUAAGCUCCGGCUAACUCCGUGCCAGCAGCCGCGGUAAUACGGAGGGAGCUAGCGUUGUUCGGAAUUACUGGGCGUAAAGCGCGCGUAGGCGGCUGUUUAAGUCAGAGGUGAAAGCCUGGAGCUCAACUCCAGAACUGCCUUUGAGACUGGACAGCUAGAAUCCUGGAGAGGUGAGUGGAAUUCCGAGUGUAGAGGUGAAAUUCGUAGAUAUUCGGAAGAACACCAGUGGCGAAGGCGGCUCACUGGACAGGUAUUGACGCUGAGGUGCGAAAGCGUGGGGAGCAAACAGG